GACGAACGCUGGCGGCGUGCUUAACACAUGCAAGUCGAACGAUGAAGCCGGAGCUUGCUCCGGUGGAUUAGUGGCGAACGGGUGAGUAACACGUGAGCAAUCUGCCCUUGACUCCGGGAUAACUGCGGGAAACUGUAGCUAAUACCGGAUACGACACCUUGGGGCAUCCCAGGGUGUGGAAAGAAUUUGGGGCAAGGAUGAGCUCGCGGCCUAUCAGCUAGUUGGUGCGGUAAUGGCUCACCAAGGCGACGACGGGUAGCCGGCCUGAGAGGGGGACCGGCCACACUGGAACUGAGACACGGUCCAGACUCCUACGGGAGGCAGCAGUGGGGAAUAUUGCACAAUGGGCGAAAGCCUGAUGCAGCAACGCCGCGUGAGGGAUGAAGGCCUUCGGUGUGUAAACCUCUUUUAGCAGGGAAGAAGCGAAAGUGACGGUACCUGCAGAAAAAGCACCGGCUAACUACGUGCCAGCCGCCGCCGUAA
rnacentral:rRNA from 1 species